ACUCCUACGGGAGGCAGCAGUGGGGAAUAUUGCACAAUGGGCGCAAGCCUGAUGCAGCCAUGCCGCGUGUAUGAAGAAGGCCUUCGGGUUGUAAAGUACUUUCAGCGGGGAGGAAGGCAAUACGGUUAAUAACCGUGUUGAUUGACGUUACCCGCAGAAGAAGCACCGGCUAACUCCGUGCCAGCAGCCGCGGUAAUACGGAGGGUGCAAGCGUUAAUCGGAAUUACUGGGCGUAAAGCGCACGCAGGCGGUCUGUCAAGUCGGAUGUGAAAUCCCCGGGCUCAACCUGGGAACUGCAUUCGAAACUGGCAGGCUUGAGUCUUGUAGAGGGGGGUAGAAUUCCAGGUGUAGCGGUGAAAUGCGUAGAGAUCUGGAGGAAUACCGGUGGCGAAGGCGGCCCCCUGGACAAAGACUGACGCUCAGGUGCGAAAGCGUGGGGAGCAAACAGGAUUAGAUACCCUUGUAGUCCCAUGA
rnacentral:rRNA from 1 species